CAUAUCGUCUGAUUUUAUUGAUAGUACGUUUAUCGAUAUCAAGAAUGCCAAUAUCAAUAUAAAUACAUAAACAUUUAUAUAUAUAUACACUUAUGCUGCUAAUGUCUAUUUUGAGCUUGGUCGGCGAUGACGGGUAGAGCUCCGCUUCCGUUCUCAGAAAUCUGCAGACUUUUACCAGCUGUUUAUUGUUUUGAUGAUAUGAUUAUGUUGAUGUCAUAGAUACUAAUCAUAACAAUCGAUAAAUAUUAAAUAGGUACUACAGUAGUAAUGUUUACCAAUUCUUUAUUCUUUGUAACAAUGGUCAUAUCCUAUUGAUCUCAUCAAUAUAUUUUAUUUAUACCCAUUCUUGGGUCAAGCUCUACUAUGUUGUGUUCUAAAGAAAUGCUAACUGGACGUCUUAAGAGAAGACAGGAUAGUAAAGGACUAACAGUGAAAGACUGUGUAAUGUUUGCUAUAAAUGUGUUCAUUGGUAUUGGAUAAAGUAGAGAAAACCGAAUCAGAAGGCGGACACUUCUUGGAUAUUGUUGCCAGGAUUCGCCUUCGACUAAUAUUUUUUAUUAGACACAAUAUCCAAUAAACAACCUGGAAUAGAAAAAUUUCUAAAUAUGCUAAAAAGAAAACUACAGUUUUUAACCAGACUACCAAAAUACAUAUUAAAUAACAUAAAAACUACCAUUACCUAAAAGAUAUUUGUACCUAUUGGUAUUGUAAAACUUAUCUACAUUAUCUAGCAAGGAAGUUUUUAUCCUCGACUAUCAAGCGAUUUCUUAGUCUCCCGAGGUGGAAGUCGUUUGGUUUGCUCAUCCACUAGUCGUUUCGUCAUAAGUUUAUAAGUAUGGUGAACUUCUAUUGAAGACUUGUUUUGCGUAUAAAUGUUAACGCCUACUUCUGAUGUACUACUGACUGACAAUCGCGGUCAGUGGGCCACGGCAAGCGAAGAGUAUUACCGGAACUUAUGUUUAAGUUACCUAAGUUAAAUGGGUUUCGCAUAACAAAGGACACCUCUGGAAUCAUAAAAGGGCCCGAUAAUUGUUAUAUGAACGUGGUGUUUCAAAUACUGAAAUUUCCGUUUCGAAACAAUUACAACAACAGCAUAUUGUCUUUUAGUUUCAAGAUCAAAUCAUAUAAUGAUAUUUAUGAAUGACAAAUAUAAAUAAAUAUAAUACGCGGCA